rnacentral:rRNA from 1 species
GGUUAAGCGACUAAGCGUACACGGUGGAUGCCCUGGCAGUCAGAGGCGAUGAAGGACGUGCUAAUCUGCGAAAAGCGUCGGUAAGGUGAUAUGAACCGUUAUAACCGGCGAUGUCCGAAUGGGGAAACCCAGUGCAAUUCGUUGCACUAUCGUUAACUGAAUACAUAGGUUAACGAGGCGAACCGGGGGAACUGAAACAUCUAAGUACCCCGAGGAAAAGAAAUCAACCGAGAUUCCCCCAGUAGCGGCGAGCGAACGGGGAGCAGCCCAGAGUCUGAAUCAGCUUGUGUGUUAGUGGAACGGUCUGGAAAGUCCGACGGUACAGGGUGAUAGUCCCGUACACCAAAAUGCACAGGUUGUGAACUCGAAGAGUAGGGCGGGACACGUGGUAUCCUGUCUGAAUAUGGGGGGACCAUCCUCCAAGGCUAAAUACUCCUGACUGACCGAUAGUGAACCAGUACCGUGAGGGAAAGGCGAAAAGAACCCCGGCGAGGGGAGUGAAAAAGAACCUGAAACCGUGUACGUACAAGCAGUGGGAGCACCUUCGGGUGUGACUGCGUACCUUUUGUAUAAUGGGUCAGCGACUUAUAUUCUGUAGCAAGGUUAACCGUAUAGGGGAGCCGCAGGGAAACCGAGUCUUAACUGGGCGUUAAGUUGCAGGGUAUAGACCCGAAACCCGGUGAUCUAGCCAUGGGCAGGUUGAAGGUUGGGUAACACUAACUGGAGGACCGAACCGACUAAUGUUGAAAAAUUAGCGGAUGACUUGUGGCUGGGGGUGAAAGGCCAAUCAAACCGGGAGAUAGCUGGUUCUCCCCGAAAGCUAUUUAGGUAGCGCCUCGUGAACUCAUCUUCGGGGGUAGAGCACUGUUUCGGCUAGGGGGUCAUCCCGACUUACCAACCCGAUGCAAACUACGAAUACCGAAGAAUGUUAUCACGGGAGACACACGGCGGGUGCUAACGUCCGUCGUGAAGAGGGAAACAACCCAGACCGCCAGCUAAGGUCCCAAAGUCAUGGUUAAGUGGGAAACGAUGUGGGAAGGCACAGACAGCCAGGAUGUUGGCUUAGAAGCAGCCAUCAUUUAAAGAAAGCGUAAUAGCUCACUGGUCGAGUCGGCCUGCGCGGAAGAUGUAACGGGGCUAAACCAUGCACCGAAGCUGCGGCAGCGACACUAUGUGUUGUUGGGUAGGGGAGCGUUCUGUAAGCCUGCGAAGGUGACCUGUGAGGGUUGCUGGAGGUAUCAGAAGUGCGAAUGCUGACAUAAGUAACGAUAAAGCGGGUGAAAAGCCCGCUCGCCGGAAGACCAAGGGUUCCUGUCCAACGUUAAUCGGGGCAGGGUGAGUCGACCCCUAAGGCGAGGCCGAAAGGCGUAGUCGAUGGGAAACAGGUUAAUAUUCCUGUACUUGGUGUUACUGCGAAGGGGGGACGGAGAAGGCUAUGUUAGCCGGGCGACGGUUGUCCCGGUUUAAGCAUGUAGGCUGAUUGUCCAGGCAAAUCCGGAUAAUCAAGGCUGAGGUGUGAUGACGAGGCACUACGGUGCUGAAGUAACAAAUGCCCUGCUUCCAGGAAAAGCCUCUAAGCAUCAGGUAACAUUAAAUCGUACCCCAAACCGACACAGGUGGUCAGGUAGAGAAUACCAAGGCGCUUGAGAGAACUCGGGUGAAGGAACUAGGCAAAAUGGUGCCGUAACUUCGGGAGAAGGCACGCUGGUGUGUAGGUGAAGUCCCUGCGGAUGGAGCUGAGACCAGUCGAAGAUACCAGCUGGCUGCAACUGUUUAUUAAAAACACAGCACUGUGCAAACACGAAAGUGGACGUAUACGGUGUGACGCCUGCCCGGUGCCGGAAGGUUAAUUGAUGGGGUUAUCCGUAAGGAGAAGCUCUUGAUCGAAGCCCCGGUAAACGGCGGCCGUAACUAUAACGGUCCUAAGGUAGCGAAAUUCCUUGUCGGGUAAGUUCCGACCUGCACGAAUGGCGUAAUGAUGGCCAGGCUGUCUCCACCCGAGACUCAGUGAAAUUGAACUCGCUGUGAAGAUGCAGUGUACCCGCGGCAAGACGGAAAGACCCCGUGAACCUUUACUAUAGCUUGACACUGAACAUUGAGCCUUGAUGUGUAGGAUAGGUGGGAGGCUUUGAAGCGUGGACGCCAGUCUGCGUGGAGCCAACCUUGAAAUACCACCCUUUAAUGUUUGAUGUUCUAACGUUGGCCCCUUACCGGGGUUGCGGACAGUGUCUGGUGGGUAGUUUGACUGGGGCGGUCUCCUCCCAAAGCGUAACGGAGGAGCACGAAGGUUAGCUAAUCCUGGUCGGACAUCAGGAGGUUAGUGCAAUGGCAUAAGCUAGCUUGACUGCGAGCGUGACGGCGCGAGCAGGUGCGAAAGCAGGUCAUAGUGAUCCGGUGGUUCUGAAUGGAAGGGCCAUCGCUCAACGGAUAAAAGGUACUCCGGGGAUAACAGGCUGAUACCGCCCAAGAGUUCAUAUCGACGGCGGUGUUUGGCACCUCGAUGUCGGCUCAUCACAUCCUGGGGCUGAAGUAGGUCCCAAGGGUAUGGCUGUUCGCCAUUUAAAGUGGUACGCGAGCUGGGUUUAGAACGUCGUGAGACAGUUCGGUCCCUAUCUGCCGUGGGCGCUGGAGAAUUGAGGGGGGCUGCUCCUAGUACGAGAGGACCGGAGUGGACGCAUCACUGGUGUUCGGGUUGUCAUGCCAAUGGCACUGCCCGGUAGCUAAAUGCGGAAGAGAUAAGUGCUGAAAGCAUCUAAGCACGAAACUUGCCCCGAGAUGAGUUCUCCCUGAGACUUUAAGUCUCCUGAAGGAACGUUAAAGACGAUGACGUUGAUAGGCCGGGUGUGUAAGCGCAGCGAUGCGUUGAGCUAACCGGUACUAAUGAACCGUGAGGCUUAACCUU